UUCUUUUGCUUUCCCGACGAACCCACGAAACGGUAACCCGCCCACGGAAGCCAAUCAAAAACAAGCAAACUGGGCGGGAAAACCGCAUACUGUAUCUGGCUAUACAUCUGAACAGGCAGUUGGUGAGAAAAAGACGAACGACAACGACACGAGGGAAUCUUAAGUGGCUGAAAGCGACUGAUGUUAUUCAAGUCCCGCCCGAAUCCAGCGGCGUAGCACGGUGAGAGCACACGGAUUCAUGUUUGGAGAAACGCUUCAGGAAAUAUAAUAAAACUGUUGGAGAGGGCUAAAUAAUGAAGAAGGGGAACAGCAUUCAUCUGGAUAAACUCAUUGAAGACUUUAAUGUGUUAGAAAAGAAAGCUUUAGAACUUGAGGGAAAGAAUAAUUUGUUGGAAAUAAAGCUUGAAGAAGCCAGCAAUCUUUUGAAAUUUGGCCAGAAUAAAGAAUUAUCUUUGAAGAA